rfam:Rahnella aquatilis CIP 78.65 = ATCC 33071, complete genome.
UCAAUUGGUGGCUCAGGCGGGGCAGCCUUAGGGCUGGUCGGUUUCCAGUUUUCCGAUUCCUAACCUCGUCUGAGUUACCACCCAU